UAAAAAAUCACACAGGCGCCACAUAUUCCAUCUCUAAGAUUUUUUUUAUUACUUAAUGUUAAAAAAAUUCAGUGUCACUAAAGAGACUUGGAAAAAAAAAGAGUCAGCCAGAGGGAACUCACCACUCUCGAAACCCAGAACACUUGAACCCUAGUCCUGCGAGAGAUUUGAGACUUAGGGCUUAACCCUGGCAGCCAGAGAGUACCUCAGAGGAACGAACACGAAGUCGCUAGCUUCGCCGCUGUGUCUCCGCCUAACUCUGAUGGCACGUCUUCAUAUCCACCCGCGUCAAUCUUCUUCCGCCUCUUAUCAUCACGGUGGCUCCUUUAAACAGACAGAAAUCAUAUAUAAGUCAGAGAAGAGAGGAGUGGGAGAAGAGAUAGAACUGAGGAAGAAGACGCGACGGCAGAAAGAAGCUGAGUUGCAGAUCCUUUGGUGUCUUUGGUGAAGAAGAAGAAGAAGAAGAAGAGUUGCAGAUCGUUGAGAAAUGGCAGCGACGCGACUUACAGCAUCACCAUUGGCUCUGUCAGCUAGGAGCUUAGCCUCACUGGAAAGUCUCAGAGCUUCCGGUGUCAAGUUUCCAUCUUCAGGAACUUAGCUUGUUGGAGAAUGCAAAGCGCUUGAUGGAUUGUGAAGCUUUUGAGAUUCUACAAGGCAUUGAGGAACAAAUGGCUGUGCUAUCUGAAGCUUGAGUAUCCUUUUGUAACUGUCUUGAUUGAUCUUUGAUGCACAUUAUUGUUCUUCUCAUAUGUGAUUCUGAUCUGUGUUUAUAAAUUAACGAGUAUGAUAUCAGGCCUUUGAAAAAGCAUGGUGUCUCUGAAAGCGAGGUUAUUAACUUAACCAAAGAGCUUCUGUCCAGACCACAAGACCUCAUCAACUUGAAGGCUAACUUGCAGUAGGCGGAUUAAGCUCUAAGAGAAUGGCUGCUCUUGAGAAGUCACGGUACUCUGUAUUUACACAACACGGGAGCUCAUCUCACAAGCUCCACCAUGCCAUCGAUGCUCUGUCUUCCACAGCUCAUCCAAACUCAGAUAAUGAUUUCUUCUCCUCUUAGAGGUUUACAUUUUGGUUUUUGAUUUUCUUGAUGUCUAUUUAGGCAAAAAUCAAUGAGAUCUUGUAAUCUGAGUUUGUCCAGUGUCUAUUUUGUUGGUACUAUAAGAUCAUCUGGUCUUGUUCAUGUUUUAUAGUGGGUUUUUGCUACACAGGAUUUUUGAAGGUUCAACAUGUUCCUUAGGUUGCAAUACCUUGUUGACUUCAUAACCUUACAUGUAGAAACAAACAACGUAGAGUUACAUUAUUGAUACGUUAUUUCAAGCGAACAUAGAAUGGUUGAUGAGGCGCAGAAAGCACUAGAAGAGGCAGAAGCUCUCAAGAAGACAGACCAGAAGCUGCGUCUGUGUGACAUGCGGAGCAUUCUUGAGCAUUUAUGACAGGGUUACAAAACUGGUGACAUCGACAAAGAAGAACGGCCUGGAAGACAGCCACCUCGAAGUUCUGUGAGGAAGAAGAUCAGUGAGAUCCAGAGAGGGAGGAGGCUUGAAGCUUGAAACUUAGAUUUAGUUUUCUUUUCUAGGUUUACUUAAUUUUCUAAUUCUGAUUUAUUUUUGUAAACCAGAAUUUACUUGUAACCAGAAAUAAAUUAAUAAAUAAAAUUUAAUUUUUAA